rnacentral:lncRNA from 1 species
GAAAAGCACACAAACAUAACCUCACAUCCAAAUAUGAAUAUAACAGGAAGCAAUAAUCACUAUUCCUUAAUAUCUCUCAACAUCAAUGGCCUCAACUCCCCAAUAAAAAGACAUAGAUUAACAAACUGGAUACGCAACGAGGACCCUGCAUUCUGCUGCCUACAGGAAACACACCUCAGAGACAAAGACAGACACUACCUCAGAGUGAAAGGCUGGAAAACAACUUUCCAAGCAAAUGGUCAGAAGAAGCAAGCUGGAGUAGCCAUUCUAAUAUCAAAUAAAAUCAAUUUUCAACUAAAAGUCAUCAAAAA